UAGGGAAUAUUGGUAAUGUGCGAAAGCGCGAACCAGCAACGCCGCGUGCACGAUGAAGGCCUUCGGGUUGUAAAGUGCUUUUAGAGAGGAUGAGGAAGGACAGUACUUUCUGAAUAAGCACCGGCUAACUACGUGCCAGCAGCCGCGGUAAUACGUAGGGUGCAAGCGUUAAUCGGAAUUACUGGGCGUAAAGCGUGCGCAGGCGGUUUUGUAAGACAGAGGUGAAAUCCCCGGGCUCAACCUGGGAACUGCCUUUGUGACUGCAAAGCUGGAGUGCGGCAGAGGGGGAUGUAAUUCCGCGUGUAGCAGUGAAAUGCGUAGAUAUGCGGAGGAACACCGAUGGCGAAGGCAACCCCCUGGGCCUGCACUGACGCUCAUGCACGAAAGCGUGGGGAGCAAACAG
rnacentral:rRNA from 1 species